rnacentral:lncRNA from 1 species
CAGAGAUGCCAGAGAACAGCUCAACACUAGAGCUAGAGCAUGCCUGCCGAGCCAGGCUUGGCCUGUCAAGCUGAAAACCACAAGAAGGGGAAAUGCAGGACUCCAACAUUCUCGAAAAGCCUGGCUUUCCUGCUGUGCCUACAAGUCAGCCAGAAGUCACCAAGAGAAGAGAGAUCCAGGACCCAGAGCUCAUUUGGGAGCACAGCAGAACAAGGCAAGAGGACCCUUGAGUGGCCUGCUCUUACAAUGCUGAGAAUCUAGCGGGCUUGGACAUUGGGGUUGCCAAGGGACAGCCGUCCUUCACAGGCAUCGUGUUGUCUACUGUGUUCUGAAGUGGGGAGUCAGCAGCAGCCCCGAGUGGAUCAGAAGCUCAAGAGCUCUUCUCCGAUACUUAUCCUUCACCUAUUGGGAUCUUCAGAUCCAUAAGAGUCUUUGUAUAUUUCCUUUUGAGCCAAAUGCCAGCCAGCCGUGUGAACUCUCCAGAAAAGAAAUAGAGGAGGACUCAGGGGGGAGACAUGGAUACUCUGCCCAUGAAUGGUGUUGGCUGCAUAGGUUUAUGUCAGAAGUAGAGUUGCCUGACUUUCUAGCUGUCUACCUAGGGUCAGAACAGGAAGCCCAGGUGCCUUUGAGUGGCAUGGGAAGGUACGGGAGCCAGUAGGGCUGGAUAGACAAUGAUGACAGCACAGCAAAAUGACAACUUCUGAUGGAGGCGGGGAGAGAUGUGGGGAAUGUCCCCCAAAGCCUCAGAACAUUCUACAACUAUUGUUUUGAGUAGUAAUAAUGGAGGGCUUCCUAAGGAGGUACCACAUGCCAGGCACACUCUUUGUGUGUUUUCCCUUCUUUGACUCUUACCAUGAUCCUGUGAGGAGGUAUUUUAGGAGUCUCCUCUAUCCAUGGGGUGUAUGUUCUAUGGCCCCCAAAGAAUGUCUGAAACCACAGAUACUACUGAAGCUAGUUUAUAUUACAUUCGUUCCAUAUACAUACCAAACGAUGAUAAAAUUCAGUAUAUAAAUAAGACACAGGAAGAAUUUAACAAUAUUAACAUAACGAUGAUAAUGUUAUCCAUAAUAAAAGCUGUGUGACUGUGCCCCCCAAUAUAUCUUAUUGAACUUUCACAUUUUAUAAUUUAAGGUGGUGCUUCCCACUUCUCUUUGGAUGAUUCAAAUUGCUCUCAUGGAUAUUACUGUGUGUUGUGGUACAAAAAGGGAACACUUACAUUUGACUGCAGUACUGUACUGUACUAUAAUGUACUGUAUGGACUAUAUUAUACUAUACUAUACACGGGGCUAGGCAAAACAGAGCAGGAUGUAUAAAAGUAGCAUUUUACUCUCCAGAUGUAAUUGUUGUCUCAGAGGCUUACUGCUGAAUAAACUCACUCUUUCUAGUUCUUUCUUUCUGAACUCUGGCUGGCUGGCUGGUUCAACUUAGCUGUUCUGGCUCAAACUCCUCUCCAAGCUGACUCAUUCAAACUUGCUUUUCUCAGCUUCUGACUGAAUUGCUCUGUUUGUCAAAAUUGCCUCUGAACUCCACGAACUGAAUGGCACUGACUGCAUAGAACUGAACUGAACUGAACUGAACUGAACUGAACUGAACUGAAAACUGAACUGAACUGCUCUGCACUCAACUAAACUCAACGGAACUGAUGGACUCUCUCCCUGCCCUUCUCUGAAGUUGCUUCUUUUUCCUGUGCUGUCCUCAUAAGAGUUGGGUGUAUCCUGUCUCUGACUCAAUCUGUCAGCUCUUUCUCUGAUUUGUCACUUUGUUUGCCCCUUAAGAGAUGUCACUUUCAAAUACUGCAGCCUUCUACAAACUAACUUUACCGUCAUUGUUA